UACCUUGAAAAAAAUCACAGUAUAGGGAAGGAGACUAAAUUCAAACAGAAUUGUAAAUAGGACUGUUUACAAGCCCAUAGGAAUAUAAAAAGGGUCUUUCAUGGAGUUUUGCUUCCCUCUCUGGAGGCCCACAUGAAGAGGUUGAUUUCUUCCCAUAUAAAAACAAUCCUAAGCAUGUGCUCACACACAUACCACACACACACACAUGCACACACACGCACACACGAGAACCCAUUCCCCACCUUUUCUCUACAGAGGCCACAACAUUCUUGAAUUUUGUGUUUACCAUUUACAUGCAUGCUUUUAUUGCAUAUUUACUACAUAUAAUUUUUUGCAUAUUUUAAACUUUGUGUAUUUUGGACAUACCAGACAUAUCUGCUGGCAGUUUGCUUUUUUCAUUUGUCAUUAAGUUUUGAGAUUUAUUUUAGGUGCUACUACAUCUAUUUUUUUGUUGGUGGACUUUUAGAUUGAUCCAAUUUCCUUUUUUUCCCCAAAUUUUUAUUUGAAUUCUAGUUAGUUAAGGGGUGCCUGGGUGGCUCAGUCAACUGAGCAUCCGCCUUCAGCUCAGGUCAUGAUUUCACAGUUUGUGAGAACUGAGCCCCGCAUUGGGCUCGCUGCUAUUGGUGUGGAGCCUGCUUCAGAUCCUCUGUCCCCCUCUCUCUUUCCCCCUCCCCCCACUCUCUCUCUCUCAAAAAUAGACAUUAAAAACUAAAUUAUAGUUAGUUAACAUUCAACUUUCAACUAUUAUAACUAAUCCUGCAAUUAACACUCAAGUAUGUCGAUGUAUAAGAGUUUCUCUAGGAUAGCAAUCCCUAUCAAAAUAACACCAGCAUUCUUCACAGAGCUAGGACAAACAAUCCUAAAAUUUGUAUGGAACCAGAAAAGACCCUGAAUAGCCAAAGAAAUCUUGAAAAAGAAAACUGAAGCCGGAGGCAUCACACUCCCGGACUUCAAGACGUAAUACAAAGCUGUAAUCAUCAAGACAGUAUGGUACUGGCACAAAAACAGAGACUCAGAUCAAUGGAACAGAAUAGAGAACCCAGAAAUGGUCCCACAAACGUAUGGCCAACUAAUCUUUGACAAAGCAGGAAAGAAUGUCCAAUGGAAUAAAGACAGUCUCUUCAGCAAGUGGUGCUGGGAAAACUGGAGAGCAACAUUCAGAAGAAUGAACCUGGACCACUUUCUUACAUCAUACACAAAAAUAAACUCAAAAUGGAUGUAAGACCUAAACGUACGACAGGAAGCCAUCAAAAUCCUCCAGGAGAAAGCAAACAAAACCACUUUGACCACUUUGACCACAGCAACUUCUUACUCAACACAUCUCCGGAGGAAAGGGAAACAAAAGCAAAAAUGAACUACUGGGACCUCAUCAAAAUAAAAAGCUUCUGCACAGCGAAGAAAACAAUCAGCAAAACUAAAAGACAACCAACAGAAUGGGAGAAGAUAUUUACAAAUGACAUAUCAGAUAAAGGGUUAGUAUCCAAAAUCUAUACAGAACUUAUCAAACUCAAUACCCAAAAACAAAUAAUCCAGUGAGGAAAUGGGCAAAAGACAUGAAUAAACACUUCUCCAAAGAAGACAGCCAGAUGGUGAACACAUGAAAAAAUGCUCAACAUCACUCAUCAUCAGGGAAAUACAAAUCAAAACCACAUGGAGAUACCACCUCACACCAGUGGGAAUGGCUAACAUUAACAACUCAGGCAACAACCUGUGUUGGCGAGGAUGUGGAGAAAGAGGAUCUUUUUUGCACUGUUGGUGGGAAUGCAAACUGGUGCAGUCACUCUGGAAAACAGUAUGGAGUUCCUCAAAAAACUCAAAAUAGAACUACCCUAUGACCCAGCAAAUGCGCUACUAGGUAUUUAUCCAAGGGAUACAGGUGUGCUGUUUCGAAGGGACACAUGCACCCCCAUGUUUAUAGCAGCACUAUCGACAAUAGCCAAAGUAUGGAAAGAGCCCAAAUGUCCGUCAACAGAUGAAUGGAUAAAGCGGUGGUGUAUAUAUACAAUGGAGUGUUACUCAACAAUCAAAAAGAAUGAAAUCUUGCCAUUUCCAACUACAUGGAUGGAACUGGAGGGUAUUAUGCUAAGUGAAAUUAGAGAAAGACAAAUAUCAUAUGACUUUACUCAUAUGAGGAAUUUAAGAUACUAAACAUAUGAGCAUAAGGGAAGGGAAGCAAAAAAGUAUAAAAACAAGGAGGGAGACAAAACAUAAGAGACUCAUAAAUAUAGAGAACAAACAGAGGGUUGCUGGAGGGGUUGUGGGAGGGGGGAUGGGCUAAAUGGGUAAGGGACAUUAAGGAAUCUACUCCUGAAAUCAUUGUUGUACUAUAUGCUAACUAACUUGGAUGUAAACUAAAUAAUAAAUAAAUUAAAAAAGAGUUUCUCUAGGGUAUAUACCUAUGAAUGGAAUUACUGGAUUAUAGUAGUGUGAAUCUUCAACUUUGCUAGAUCCAAGUUAUUCUUUGAAGUGGUUAUAUUAAUUUAUGCUGCUGCAAUAAUAAGGUAUAAGAUUCCUGUUGCUCAUGGCCAACAUUUGGUAUUGUUAGACUUUAAUACUUAUGUUACAUUUCUCAAUUUUUAGAUGUGAAUGGUAUUUUUUUGGGGGUAGUUUUAAUUUGCAUUCAUCUGAUUAAUAUUAAAGUUGAAUAUUUUUUAUAAUGUU